rnacentral:rRNA from 1 species
GCGUGGAUGAAGAAGGCCCUAGGGUUGUAAAAUCCUUUCACCAGGGAAGAUAAUGACGGUACCUGGAGAAGAAGCUCCGGCUAAUUUCGUGCCAGCAGCCGCGGUAAUACGAAAGGGGCUAGCGUUGUUCGGAAUUACUGGGCGUAAAGCGCACGUAGGCGGCCAUGUAAGUUGGGGGUGAAAUCCCGGAGCUCAACUCCGGAACUGCCUUCAAAACUACAUAGCUAGAGGAUGUGAGAGGUGAGUGGAAUUCCGAGUGUAGAGGUGAAAUUCGU